UAUCCUACUAUGUGUCUCCAUGAAUUUGCCUAUUCUAGAUACUUCUUGUGCCUUUUUCCAUAAUUUUUUCUUAUAACCAGCCCUUCUCAUCCAAAGGCCACAAUGAAGUCGAAGAAACCUAUAGAUGACAGCUUUCACAAUCCUUCUCUUGCCUUUUCCUGUACUGACGUAUGAUAGAGAUCUGCCUGGCAGCUUCAAGACACUUGGAAGCAAGAGGGCCACUCUAUUAAGGAUCGCUGAAGUAUGCCCACAUGUCAGGUUUCUCUCAGAUGUGGUAAGUCUGGGAGUGGAGGAAACAACUGGUGUCUGAAUAUGACUAAAACGUCCAGUGGACAAUGCAGAAAUAAGAGAGGCAUUUUUGACACAGUUUUGGUAGGCUGAAGAUGCCAAAAUAUUCAGAGGCCAUAAGAUUCCUGAAGCUGCUCUCACUGCACCGGCAAAGGCAGA
rnacentral:lncRNA from 1 species